rnacentral:rRNA from 1 species
AACGAACGCUGGCGGCAGGCUUAACACAUGCAAGUCGAACGCAUCCUUCGGGGUGAGUGGCAGACGGGUGAGUAACGCGUGGGAACGUGCCCUUCAGUUCGGGAUGACCCAGGGAAACUUGGGCUAAUACCGGAUACGUGCGAGAGCAGGAAGAUUUAUCGCUGAAGGAUCGGCCCGCGUCUGAUUAGCUAGUUGGUGGGGUAAUGGCCCACCAAGGCGACGAUCAGUAGCUGGUCUGAGAGGAUGAUCAGCCACAUUGGGACUGAGACACGGCCCAAACUCCUACGGGAGGCAGCAGUGGGGAAUAUUGGACAAUGGGCGCAAGCCUGAUCCAGCCAUGCCGCGUGAGUGAUGAAGGCCUUAGGGUUGUAAAGCUCUUUCGUCCGGGACGAUAAUGAUGGUACCGGAAGAAGAAGCCCCGGCUAACUUCGUGCCAGCCGCCGCCGUAA